rnacentral:piRNA from 1 species
UGUUUACUUGGUUUUCUAUGACUAUCUUCA